ensembl:lncRNA
GGAGGAUGUGUGUGUACAUUAAUGUAGUCAGAGGGUAUGUGUGUGUUCAGUACUGAAGUCAGAGGACAGAUACAGAUAUAGAUGCAGAUUCAGGUACAAAUACAGGUGUAGGUACAGCUACAGAUACAGAUACAGGUGCAGAUACAGAUGCAGAUACAGGAGCAGGUGCAGAUACAGAUGCAGAUACAGGAGCAGGUGCAGAUACAGGUGUAGAUACAGAUACAGGUACAGAUACAGAUGCAGGUACGGGUGCAAGUGCAGAUACAGAUAUAGAUGCAGAUUCAAGUACAAAUACAGGUGCAGGUGCAGAUAUAGGUGCAGAUACAGACACAGGUGCAGAUACAGGUGCAGGUGCACAUACAGGUGCAGGUACAGGUACGGGUACAGAUACAGGUCCGGGUACAGAUACAGGUAUGGGUACAGAUACAGGUGCAGGUACAGAUACAGGUGCAGGUAUGGUACAGAUACAGGUGCAGGUAUGGGUACAGAUGCAGGUAUGGGUACAGAUACAGGUGCAAGUACGGAUACAGAUACAGGUGCAGGUAUGGGUACAGAUACAGGUGCAGGUAUGGGUACAGAUACAGGUGCAGGUAUGGGUACAGAUACAGGUGCAGGUAUGGGUACAGAUACAGGUGCAAGUACGGAUACAGAUACAGGUGCAGGUACGGGUACAGAUACAGGUGCAGGUAUGGGUACAGACACAGAUGCAGGUAUAGAUACAGGUGCAGGUAUGGGUACAGGUGCAGGUAUGGGUACAGGUGCAGGUAUGGGUAUAGAUACAGGUGCAGGUAUAGAUACAGGUGCAGGUAUGUGUACAGAUACAGGUGCAGGUAUAGAUACAGAUACAGAUGCAGGUAUACAUACAGAUACAGG